GGCAACCCUUCACUGCAAACAAGGAACAUCGUCUUUUUAAACUUUCGUUAUGGAGAUCUAUAAAAAUAAAUGCCUUCACGAAGUACAGAAGAAAUUUAUUCUGGUUUUAGACGAUGAAACAAUUAUUCUAAGAUCAAAUUUGAACGAGGAUGAGAGUAAUCGAUUCGUCAGAAACUAUAGUAAAGUUUCAAAUACUAGCUGGAUUGUUUAUUACAAUCGGAGAAAUUUAUCGAGGUGGCUAUACAGUAAACCAUGGAAGUGUCAUCAUUCCAAAUUUCGAAAAAUUGAUGGCGCAGCGGAAAACAUGGAUUGCAAUGCUAGUGUAAUCAAAUUUCUAAAAAAAAAUUUUUUUUUUAUGUCGAUAGUACGUUUGAUAAUUGUAUAUAUAAAGCGUAAUCUAUUAAAAAUCAAGAUCAGCAAAAUGAAAAAAAAUUCUGCUCUGA